GAUGAACGCUGGCGGCGUGCCUAAUACAUGCAAGUCGAGCGAACAGAUAAGGAGCUUGCUCCUUUGACGUUAGCGGCGGACGGGUGAGUAACACGUGGGUAACCUACCUAUAAGACUGGAAUAACUCCGGGAAACCGGAGCUAAUGCCGGAUAACAUUUAGAACCGCAUGGUUCUAAAGUGAAAGAUGGUUUUGCUAUCACUUAUAGAUGGACCCGCGCCGCAUUAGCUAGUUGGUAAGGUAACGGCUUACCAAGGCAACGAUACGUAGCCGACCUGAGAGGGUGAUCGGCCACACUGGAACUGAGACACGGUCCAGACUCCUACGGGAGGCAGCAGUAGGGAAUCUUCCGCAAUGGGCGAAAGCCUGACGGAGCAACGCCGCGUGAGUGAUGAAGGUCUUCGGAUCGUAAAACUCUGUUAUUAGGGAAGAACAAAUGUGUAAGUAACUAUGCACGUCUUGACGGUACCUAAUCAGAAAGCCACGGCUAACUACGUG
rnacentral:rRNA from 1 species